UGACAUCAUCACAGGUCCUUUCCUUCCUCCUACAGCACAGCCUGGAGCCUGACUCCUGUAGACUCUGGAAGAAGUGCAGUCACAGAACGCUCCAUGGUGAAGGAUUGUCAGAGGAGGAGGACACGUCCGACCCCAGGUUCCUACAAUAUAGGGUCUGCUCAGUGGAUAUCUUCUAUAUAAGAUCCUUCUCCAGAUUGACCCCUCAAUGAUGGAUAGGGAUAGGGACAAAAUGGCUGAGAGUAUAAUAAAUCUCACCCUAGAGAUCCUCUUCCGGCUUACUGGAGAGGACUACACAGUAGUGAAGAAGACCUCUAAUGAGCGCUGUCAGGCCCUUGUGUCUGAAGGAUGGGAAAGAACCCUGAGUCCAAUCAAGGGGCCUCCACCUCACCCCCUGAUACAUGAGGAAAUCAAUAGAGAGAAGAUCGUAGAACUCGCCAACAAGAUUAUUGAGCUGCUGACUGGAGAGGUUCCUAUAAGGUGUCAGGAUGUCACUGUCUAUUUCUCCAUGGAGGAGUGGGAGUAUUUA